GACAGAGGGUGCAAACGUUGUUCGGAAUCACUGGGCGUAAAGGGCGCGUAGGCGGGAAGCCAAGUCGGUCGUGAAAUCUCCGGGCUCAACCUCGAGCUGUCGGUGGAAACCGUGUGGCUAGAGUCCGGAAGAGGAGAGUGGAAUUCCCGGUGUAGCGGUGAAAUGCGCAGAUAUCAGGAAGAACACCCGUGGCUAAGGCGGCUCUCUAGUACGGUACUGACGCUGAGACGCGAAAGCGUGGGGAGCAAACAGG
rnacentral:rRNA from 1 species